rnacentral:rRNA from 1 species
GACGAACGCUGGCGGCGUGCUUAACACAUGCAAGUCGAACGGAAAGGCCCUGCUUUUGUGGGGUGCUCGAGUGGCGAACGGGUGAGUAACACGUGAGUAACCUGCCCUUGACUUUGGGAUAACUUCAGGAAACUGGGGCUAAUACCGGAUAGGAGCUCCUGCUGCAUGGUGGGGGUGGGAAAGUUUCGGCGGUUGGGGAUGGACUCGCGGCUUAUCAGCGUGUUGGUGGGGUAGUGGCUUACCAAGGCUUUGACGGGUAGCCGGCCUGAGAGGGUGACCGGCCACAUUGGGACUGAGAUACGGCCCAGACUCCUACGGGAGGCAGCAGUGGGGAAUAUUGCACAAUGGGCGGAAGCCUGAUGCAGCAACGCCGCGUGCGGGAUGACGGCCUUCGGGUUGUAAACCGCUUUCGCCUGUGACGAAGCGUGAGUGACGGUAAUGGGUAAAGAAGCACCGGCUAACUACGUG